UGGGGGUCGAAUGCUGCGUAUUUAGCCUAGCAUGCUCUACAGUCUGGCAACAAAAGCGGCUUUGGGAUCUUUCUGAAACAGCUUUAUCGCUGCUGACACCAUUCGUGUCUGUUCGCGCGCGCGACUCGCACAAGAGCGACUGAAAUGAACCUGAGCGACGAGGCAACUUUGUUCUUACAUCUCUUGGAGCAGUUCACCGCGUUGUGGGACAUAAAUCUCACCGAUUACGCGGACACGAGAGCGUAACAACACCUCUUUCGAUGAAACAAGUACUCGUCAUCAUCCAAUUAGGACAAAACAAGAGCCAUUGCGGCCAACCGUCGUUUCCUUUCGAUCUCCAUUUUCAUUCUGAGUGAAAAACACACGGAGGAAGGAAACUAAGGAGAGGCCCUGACGUCACUCUUUGUGAAGCAAAAGUGAAGCCGGAAUUUGGCGUUGCUCAUGGCGAUGCUCCGCCUUUUGGGCCACCCUCCUCUCUUGUUUACAUCUUUCGCGAAACCACGCCGCGCUGCGCGUGGUGUCGCGCGCGCUCGCGCAACAUCUGGCAGAGCACGGUGCAAGUAACACAGCGCAACAAGACACGGUGACUAACGCAAACCCGCCCACUCAGCGCCUUUGCCACGGCCCGAAACCUACCAGAGCAACACGUGAGAGCGCUCAAAACCAUAACAACGCCGCCAUUGUGGCCCAAAAGGCGUGGCCACGGAGGAAGGAAACUAAGGAGAGGCCCUACCCCCUCCGCGCGCUAGGAGAAAAGUGUGGCGGAAAUGACGUAGUAGGUUCUCAUUUUCUUGCUGCUUUUUUAUUUUUUUUUUGUUGUAUGGCCACGCCUUUUGGGCCACAAUGGCGGCGUUGUUAUGGUUUUGAGCGCUCACACGUGUUGCUCUGGUUGGUUUCGGGCCGUGGCAAAGGCGCUGAGCGGGCGGGUUUGCGUUAGUCACCGUGUCUUGUUGCGCUGUGUUACCUGCACCGUGCUCUGCCAGAUGUUGCGCGUGCGCGCGCGCUCCGCGCGCGACACCACGCGCAGCGCGGCGUGGUUUCGCGAAAGAUGUAAACAAGAGAGGAGGGUGGCCCAAAAGGCGGAGCAUCGCCAUGAGCAACGCCAAAUUCCGGCUUCACUUUUGCUUCACAAGGAGUGACGUCAGGGCCUCUCCUUAGUUUCCUUCCUCCGUGGGCGUGGCCAUACAACAAAAAAAAUAAAAAAGCAGCAAAAAAAUGAGAACCUACUACGUCAUUUCCGCCACACUUUUCUCCUAGCGCGCGGAGGGGGUAGGGCCUCUCCUUAGUUUCCUUCCUCCGUGGAAAAACACGUAUGACAAAGUCUUUGUUACACCGAUGGCGCCAUCUAGAGUCAGUAGAAACAAGCAAUCAUUUUAACUUACGGCCACUGAGAUCCACCCGGGCCGCGGCAACGUCUUCGAGGCCAUGUUCAGCCAAUACAGCCACUCAAAGCCUACACGCCGAGAAUCUGAGUAUGCGUCCGCGGAACAGAUUGGCGCGGAGCCGUCCGUCGUGUGGAUACACCAUUAUUACAGCGCGGCCGCGCGGGCGCCCUAUCUUGAAAGCGAUCUGCGACGUGGCCAAAGCAACUGAUGGAGUCCAAGCAGAAGCAAAGGGCCAGCACUAAGUUUUUGACAAAGGAAAGGUGCUGGCUGUCCGACAUUCACAGAGGGCUACUGAAUGUGUACGGAGAUGACGCCAACAAAAGUAGCGUGUAGAGAUGGAUGAAAAACUUUAAUGAAGGGGAAACGAGCGCGGAAGACUAACCUCGUAGUGGGAGACCGUCAACCGUGACACGAAUCGUCAUCAGCGAGUGUACAAAUUGAUUCGUGCACACCUAAAUUUUUUCACGGAUCAUUCGCGGAUUGGGCUCGACGUUGGCGCGAAUACACCUCUUGUGAUGGAGAUUAUAUUUAGUAUAUUUGUAUUGAGAAAGAGUUGAUCUGCAUGCAUGUAAAAAUUAAACGCAUGUCAGUUAACAAAAAAAGUUAUGCCAACUUUUGCACUACUUUCUGGCACAAGCUCCCCAACGAGUUCCUACAUAAAUAAUUUGUAAGCACCUGCCUCGGAUUGUUUUUGCUUAAACCCCGCUUGAAAACCGGCCAUGAAAGGAUUACUUUUUUCAAGGCUUGACGAUUUGGUCGAUUAACUAGCGAGUAAGUCAUUAGUGGUCCAGUAGCAGUUAACUAUUCAACCAACUUCUUCGGUUCAAACGCAGAUGAAAAUCAGCAGAGCGUGCCAUCCGAUAAUAUAGCAAUUAAUGUUGCGUGGUUGCGAUCACAGA